UUUUCUAGUUUCCAGCAGAGAGAAAAGAAAGAAACGGGGAAAAGGAGAAGAGGAGAAUUGAGGGGGAAAAAAGAAAAACAGAGGGAGCAAAACAGAAGAGGAGGCAGCAGUAGUAAACCCACCCAAAUCCAUAUUUUUCUGACCAAUUUUUGACUUUCUUCCAGCAUAAAAUCAGAACUCUUGCACUUUUGUAGCUCUAAUCAAAUUUCCUUAUUGAGUUUUCAAUGUAGAAAUACGCAAAUCAGAGGGAGAAGGAACUGUUAUUGCUGUCCUCAUAAGUUCAAAUGCCAUUGCUGCCCACCAACCCUUCUAUCGUUGCCUCAAAUUACGCAAUUACCUUAUUGGGGUUUUGAUUUGGCAAAAAUAUGAAGGGGAAACUGAUUUCAUGAGCAGAGAUACAGAAAUUUCAGCUUCGAUUCAUAUAGCUCAAAAUUUAAGAGCUACGUGAACCUGAUCCUCCAUAUGAGGUACGUAAGCAGCCCUCGGGUGUGGUCCAAAGAAGGAGAAAAUAGGGAGAUUUUGCAAGAGAGAGAGGAAGAAAGAGGAGCACGUAAGAUUGGGUUGCAGCAGCUGAAGAGGACGCCUUCUUCAACAUUCUAGCAGCAGUUUUUUCACCAUUUUCACUGAGUUUUUCUAUCCCUUAGCUUAGAUUUUCAUUCCUUCUUUAUUUCUAUAUUUGGGUUUGUCUUGAAAUUAUGAUUUGUGAGUAGAACUUAGAGAUUCUAGAGAUGGGUUUGUAAAUAUUAUUUUGUAUUGUGGUUUUUUGAACUGAUUUUGUCAUUUAAAUGAGAUUUGCUGCAUUUUGAUUUAUUGCUUGUAAGCUUGUUGCCUUGAUGAAAUGGCUCUCAUUAAGUUAAGUUUUAAUUCUUAAUAGAUGGACUGAAAAGUGAAUAUUUGGAAUGGAUAAUCUUGCAAUAAACUUAGUUUUUUUAGUGUUAAAGAUAAGCUAAGAGGAUAAAGGGGACUUUUAAAAUCAAUUAGAGUUUCAAUUGGUUUUUUGUCAAGUUUGAAAUACCGUGAAAACAUGGUUUGAUUUGAUGAAUUCCAACUUUGAAAUGCUUGAGAAAGGUUUUAAAGAACUAAGAAUUGAUUUCCCUCAAAAUUGCAAUUCUCAUGUGUUUUGGUAAAUUGGGGAUAAAUUACAUGCAAACAAUAUUAAAAACCCUAUCUCUAGAAUCAUUUUAAUUUUUAUUGAAGUUAGAUUUAAUUUCUCCUAAAUUUGUAAUUAGUGAUUUCAAUUUGAAUUUUAGUCAUCUAGUUUAAUUAGUUCAAUUAAUUAUUUGAAUUAACUUAAAUUUCUCAAAUACCAAUUUUAAAUUUUAAAUUUCAUUACCAAUAUCUUUAAAUUUUACUAUUCUAAUUAGCUUAUUUCUUUAAUUCCAAUUUAAGCAUAAUUUCCUGUGGGAAUGAUAUUUUUGAAACUAUACUAUUGUGACCUGUGCACUUGCGGAAGCUAUUUAACAGCAACAUCAAGUUUUUUGAUGUCGUUGCUGGGGAAUUGUUUAGUUUUAAGUUGGAUUUUAUUUGUUUUAAGUUGAUUAGAAUUUUUAUUUUUUUUUAUUUUCACUGUUGUUCCUUAUAUUUUUCAAGUACUUUUCUUGUUUAUGAGACAAUGGAAAAGCAUAAGUGAUAUUCAAUUGUUGUUCAACCUUGAAAUUGAAAAAUUCUGUCGAGCCAACAAAAAGGAAUCUAAGAGGAUAAAGGAAGUAGAAAAAGAAGAGCAACAAAAGUUUGAGAAAGGAGAAAAUUGAAAAUAUGGAGAAUCUAAAUAGAGCUAAUGAUGGAAAAAAUGGAGGAAAUGAUCAGAACAGGCUGAAUGAAGUUGUUAAUCAAAAUGAUCCUCAGAUAAGGUCCAUGUUAGAUUAUGCUUUUCCUAGAUGUGCAGAUGUGAAAGAUAACAGACCUAUUAUUGGAGCUAAUCAAUUUGAGUUAAAGACCGGCCUCGUUCAAAUGGUUCAGAAUUCAUAAUUUGGGGGCAGCCCACUUGAGAAUCCCCAUUCUCAUUUGAAGAAAUUUUUGAUAAUAUGUGGCACUCAAAGACAACCUAGAGUUUCAGAUAGAGUGAUUUGGCUUACCUUAUUUCCAUUCUCUCUUCGGGACUCAGCAUUGGAGUGGUAUGACUCACUUCUACAAUCUACUAUAACUACUUGGGAGCAGCUAUCUCAAGCUUUUCUAUCUCAGUUUUUCCCACCUAGGAGACCACUCAUUUGAGGAAUUUAAUGAUAGCUUUUAAACUAAGAGAUGAUGAAACUUGGUAUGAAUCUUGGAUGAGAUUAAGGAGCUUGAAAGAUAAUGUCCUCAUCAUGAAAUACCUAAAUGGAUAAUUGUUCAGAAGUUCUACACCAGAGUUACUCCAGCCAUAAGAAAUACAAUUGAUUCACAAGCAGGAGGAGAUUUCAUGAGAAUGACAAGUGAAGAAUGCUAUGAUCUGUUAGAGAAGAUUACUCAUAACACCUAUUUGUGGGGAAAUCCAAGAGCCCUUUAGCCAAAAAAGGCUGGGAUCUAUGAACUCGACUCGGUUAGCUACAUGAAUGCAAGAUUUGAUCAGUUGACUCAGCUUCUUAGUGAUUUUUGCAUACAGGCAACAGUUUCAACUCCUACAACUAAGCAAUAAGUUGCCUACACAGAUGGAAUCCAAAGUUGUGGAGUUGAUUACUUGCAAGAACAAGCUGCUUAUGCAGGAGGUUAUCAACAGAAAUCAAUGGAAAAUUCUUAUUCUAAUGUGAACAACUCAACAUGGAGACCACAAGCAACUUUUGGGCAGCAAAGUCAAAGCUCAAACUAUGCUCAUAACCAGCAGUAUAUGCAUCAGAAUAGGCCUCAGUUUCAGUCUCAAUUUUAGCCCACAAGGCAGCCACCACCUGGAUAUCAACCAAGAGCACAACAACCUCUUCCACCUCCUGAACCAAAACCAACCUUGGAAAGCAUGAUGGAGAAAUUUUUUACUGAACAAAGCAAGAUGAAUAGCAAAUUGGAGGAAGCAAUGCAACACAUAAGACAAACCAUGGAUCAAUUAUAAGCUCAUAACUGUAUGUUGGAGAAUCAAUUGGCUCAACAAGCAAGCUCAUGAGGAUCUAAAUCCUAUGGCAAACUACCUAGCCAACCACAGAACCCCCAUUAACAAUACAAGGUUGUGACCUUGAGAAGUGGUAAGAAAGUUGGUCAAGAGAGUGAAAACAAGAGAGAAGAAAAAGAGAGCACAAAAGAAGAAAAUUCAGUUGAAAGCAAAAAAAAUGAAAAAGAAGAAAAAAGCAAAAGUGAGCAAGAUGAGGGAGAGAAGCCAUACAUCUCACCUGAGCCUUAUAAGCCUACUCUACUCUAACCUCAAAGAUUCAUCAAGCAUAAAUUAGACAAACAAUUUGGAAAAUUCUUUGCAGUGCUAAAAAAGUUGUAUAUCAAUGUGCCAUUCACUGAGGCACUAUCCCAAAUGCCAAGUUAUGCGAAGUUUUUUAAGGAGAUUUUUACCAACAAGAGAAGGCUAAAGGAUUAUGAUACCAUCAAUUUGGGAGAGCAAUGCAGUGCUAUAAUUUAGAAGAAGUUACCUCCCAAACUCAAAGAUCCGGGUAUAUUUUCCAUUCAUUGUCUUAUAGGUGAUAACUGUGUGGCAAAUGCCUCAUGUGACCUUAAAGCUAGCAUCAGCUUAAUGUCACUUUCACUAUAUGAGUAGCUGAAUAUGGGAGAGUUGAAGCCCACCAACAUGUAUCUUUCAUUGGCUGACUGUUCAAUUAAGUAUCCAGAAGGCAUUAUAGAAAAUGUGCCUAUCAAGGUUGAAAAAUUUUGGAAAAUUCCUUGUAGUGCUAAAGAAGUUGUAUGUCAAUGUGCCAUUCACUGAGGCACUAUCCCAAAUGCCAAGUUAUGCGAAGUUUUUUAAGGAGAUUUUUACCAACAAGAGAAGGCUAGAGGAUUAUGAUAACAUCAAUUUGGGAGAGCAAUGCAGCGCUAUAAUUUAGAAGAAGUUACCUCCCAAACUCAAAGAUCCGGGUAUAUUUUCCAUUCCUUGUCUUAUAGGUGAUAACUGUGUGGUAAAUGCCUUAUGUGACCUUAGAGCUGGCAUCAACUUAAUGUCACUUUCACUAUAUGAGUAGCCAACCAACAUGUAUCUUUCAUUGGCUGACUGUUCAAUUAAGUAUCCAGAAGGCAUUAUAAAAAAUGUGCCUAUCAAGGUUGGAAAAUUUUACAUUCCCAUGGAUUUUGUCAUUUUACACAUGGAAGAAGAUAAAAAAAUUCCUAUCUUGUUGGGAAGACUAUUUUUUGCCACAGCUGGUGCAUUAAUUGAUGUAAAAGGUGAGAAAUUGACACUUAGAGUGGGAGAUGAUCAAAUGAUAUUCAACAUCAAUCCAUCCAUGAGGAGGAAACAUGAAGAAGUUAAGUCUUGUUUGCGAAUAGACAUCAUAGAUGAGAUUGUAUAAGAGCAUUUCAGAAAAAGCUAUCCACAAGACCCACUUGAAAAUUACCUAGUCCAUGGUGAGAGCAUUGAUGACAACAACCCACACAUAGCCGCUUUUACACAAUACUUGGAGAGCUCACCACCACACCUUGAAGCUACAAUUUUUUAGCUUUAAGAAGUGUAGACUUUGGAGAUUAAAUCACCAUCAUUAAAGGUAGAGGAUGCUCCAAAGGUAGAUCUUAAACCUCUUCCUUCCAACCUCAGGUAUGCUUUUCUUGGACCCAACGAAACAUAUCCUGUUAUAAUUAAUGCAUCUUUGACUGAUAUUGAGAUUGACAAAUUGUUGAGAGUUUUGAGAGAAUAUAAGAGAGUUUUGGGCUAUACAAUUGAUGAUAUAAAGGGAAUUAGUCUAACAGUUUGUAUGCAUAGGAUUUUCCUAGAGCUACAUAGUAUACCUUCUAUUGAACACCAAAGAAGAUUGAAUCCUACGAUGAAGGAUGUUAUGAAAAAGGAAAUCCUAAAAUUACUAGCUGCUGGAUAGAAGAUGUUGUUACAAUUUGAUGAGUUAGAAGAAUUGAGACUUGAUGCUUAUGAAAAUGCUAGGAUCUAUAAAGAAAGAGCUAAAAAAUGGCAUGAUAAGCAUAUCAAGAAAAAUGACUUUAAAGAAGGAGAUUUGAUGCUCUUAUUCAAUUCAAGGUUGAAACUAUUUUCAGGAAAACUAAAAUCAAAGUGGUCAAGACCAUUUAAAGUUGUGAAAGUUUUCCCCUAUGGUGCUGUAGAAAUUUUUGGUGAAAAAUCUGGUAAUUUCAAAGUGAAUGUGCAAAGGUUGAGACAUUAUUCAGUUGGUGAACCCAUUUAGAAGACAGCAACCUGCUAUCUCUCUCAUUCUCCAUGAGAUUUUGGUUGAGUAAGGUUAAGUUAAAGACCUAAACUUAGCAUUUUUUGGUGUAACCCACAAUUUUUCAUUGAUUCUUUAUUUCUUUCAUAUUUUUUGUUUUAAGUUUUCUAUACUCUUUAUUCAGAUUUUGACAUUGUUCUGAUUUUCUUAUGCAGAUGGGAUACAAUUCAUUGUAAGCAAAUGAGCACUUAUCAUUACGUUUUAGUUCUAGUUUUAAAUUUAAAUUUUAAAUUUUAGUUUUAAAUUUGUUCCUUUGUACUUUUUAUCUUUCUAUGGCUGAAUAUUUGCUGGUUGGUUUUGCAGGUUUCAUUGCUCAUUUUGUUGAUCUUAAGAGGAAGUUUUUCUAAACUUUGUCAUCUUGGUUUAAAAAGAAAAUCAAUUGAAUGUGGAUGUGUGAAUUGGUGCUUUGUAAAUUUUUAAUGAAUGUUAGAUGAAUACAGCAGGUUGAGCAGUUAGAACUCAUGUUAUGAAGGUCUGAUCACUUGAAUUUUAAUUUGUCUCAAUUUUCUAAGUAUUGUGCAACUUUGUCAAAUUUGGACAGAAAGUUACAAAACCCUCCACCCAACCAAUUUUGGUUUGUGUUGUAGCUUGUGUUCGCUGGACACCAAUUUGGACAAAAAGUUCUACAACCUUCGGCAUAAUCGAUUUUGGCUUAUGUCACAGCUUAUGUUCACUGAGCGCAAUUUUGGACAGAAAGUUGCAUAACUUGUAACACCCCUAUUUGCAUAGCCUGGUAUAUUUUACUAUUCCAGUGACCUGUGUCGGUCCGAAUAAUUAAGGGGAUUAGACCAUAUUUAAGACAACUAGAUAAGCCCCGAAAACAAAUAAUUAGUAAUUGUCAAAUAGUUAAGUAUAAAUAAGAAAAACAGAACACAAGAGGUUAAAUGAGCCGAGAGUCAUAGCGAUGGGCGAUCUUCUCGGGAACGAUUGCGAGGUCGAUUUAAACUCAAAUUUCGAACCGAAAAAUGUGAUGCUGCUGUCCUCAGGACUAUUUGCAACGCAGUGGAAAAGAGAAAAUCACAAAAAAGAAAUGUUAAGUCGGUCAAAUAAUUAAGUCAGGGAUCUGAAAGAAAUAUUAAAUUAUUUGCAAAUCGGGUCAAACCGGCGAGGGGCAAUUUGGUUAAUUGACUCCUAGAGCUGACUCCUGACCUAAUUGUCAAAUAAAAUCGAAUAAAAGAAAAUUUUGGAGUCGGGAAUUAAAUUAAAGAAUUGAAGAUAAAUAAAUUAAAAAAAAAAGAGGAAAAUAGAAAAAGUGAAAAGAUGAUUACAUCAUGCAUGAUGCAAUAAAUAUUAUAAUUAAAAAUUUAAAAUUUUGGAUAAUUUUUGGUCUUACUAAAGGUUAAAUAUUUAGAAAAAUAAAAGAAAAAAAAAACAAAAAGUCCUUCAUCUUCUUCAAAUUACCGUGACCCAUCUCUCUCAUCCCUCCCUCACCAAAUCCUCCAUGGAAGCUCAUUUUUGAGUUUGAAGACAACCAAAUUCCACCAUAGAAAAUUCAAUUAUCAUAACUAAACUUUGUUUGGGCAAUUAGAAAAGAAGGUUCAAGGAGAAAGAAAAAAGAAAGGAAGAAGUUUGAAGAGGAAAAAAAUUCUGCAUAAAGGUUAGUAAUCUAAACUUGAAGUUCUAGUUGAAUUAAUUGUGUUUAUAGUUGAAUAAACCUAGAAAUAUACUUAAAAUGAAAUGAAAAUAACUUUAGAGGACUAUAUGUGAAUUUCGGUCAGCCAUAAAUGUAUGGGAAUAUGAUAUGUUUUGAAUGAAUUAAAAGUGUAUGUAAGCUUGAAUGAGUUGAGAAAGGGUGUUGGUAUGCUUGGAAUCAAUUAAAUGUAACAAAUCAAGUGAAUUAGGGUUUGAACCUAGGGUUUUGGAAGACAAAAAUUGGAGAAUUGUUCAAAUGGUGUGCUUGACCUAGUUUGAGCUGAAAAAUGGUCAUAUGUGACCAAUUUUGGUGUGUUGAAAGUGUUGGAAUCAAGUGGAGAUUCGGAUUGGAUAUGGCCAUUAUGCAGGCAGCAUGACCAAGGUCCCUUUCAGGGACCAAAACUGAAAAUUUACCAACCCAAUUGGUAUGAUGCCAAUUAGGAAUGAAACUAGACACAAAAUGACACAUUUUUCAUUUAGGAAUCAUGCCCAGAAAGUGACUAAAACCUAAUGAACAAAUUGGCCAAAUCAGGAAUUGAGUGUUCUGCCCUGUACAAAAAUGACCAAAUGAACAAUGGCCAUAACUUGGGCUAAGCAGGUCUAAAUGACCUUAAAUUUUACCAGUAGAAAGAUGAGAUAUAGACCUAAAACUUUUAUGAAGAACAAAAACCCAAAUUAUGCCCUUAACCAAGUCAUAUAGCCCCUCAAAGUUGAUGACCUAAAACUGCCAGAACCAAUUUUGGUGCCUAGAAAAUCUGGGUUAAGCCAAUCCGGCCAGCCAUGUUCAAAUGGCUAUAACUUGAGCUACAAAACUCCAAUUGGAGUGAUUCAAAAAGAAGAAUAAAGUUAAGACAAUAAGGAACAAUUUCUAUGAAGAAAACUUAGCCAAAUUCUAACAGCAACAUGACCAAUGGAAUAGUGCAACAUAAGACACAAAAACUGAAAAUUUGAAAUUUUGCCUAAAAGACUUAAGUUUUGAGAAAACAACCAAAACCAACAAAUUAGGUAACCAAAAUGUGGUUUGUGAGUGAAAUUAGAAUUUUCAUACCUAUUAAGCCUUAGAAAGUCAACAAAUUGACUUGAAUAGUAUUGUGAAUAGCAACUCCGAAAUACAAAUUUUAAAGAACGUCAAGUUUAGCAUAUUAAAGCUAGAUAUAAGUAGAUUUGAAUUUAUUUUUGGAAUUAUGAUAAGUUAUGAUGCUGAAACACUGUGAAACUGUGUUUCAGUGGAAAAGAAUUCCUGGAAAGAACCCGAAGUGUCGAGUCAAGGCCAAGAGGCGACUCGUAUAAGAUAUAGAGACUAGAGGAGCAGCAGAGUGAGCUGCUAAGGAUUGUGGAGCUGCCUUUCCUAAAGUUUUAUCGGGUAUAUUUUAUACCCUGAUUGUAAAGAUUAUUUUGAUGUAUGUAAAUGUAUGUAAAUGUAGAAAAUGGUCAUGAGCAGUUAUAUAAAGUUUGUAAUAAUAUUAGUUUGGAUGUUUCUAAUAUAAAUUUUGGAUGAAUGUAAUUUGUUUUAAUUUGAAUGAAGUAUGAAUAAAAGUAUUUUGUUUUAA